CAAGAAUGAAUCCCAAACACACUCUAAAAUCAACACUCCAUAGCAAAGUGAUGUUGGGCGAUUGGCUGAUCACCUGACUAAUGCUAAAGUGGCUCUGUACACCCCAUAGGGUUUGCUAGCAGUGCAUAAGGCCCGAUCUCCAUCUGCACAAAAGCAAUCGACAUUUUUCUCCAAACACUGCUUUUCUAUCAAUCUCUGAGUUCAAGGGCGACAAAAAAAUUUCAAUGAGCACGGCUACUCCACCGAAGACUUGUCCUUCUCAAUUGGUCGUUUUAAACAAGGCAUUCAAAUUGGAGACCUCUCAAUGGUGUUGCCUACAACAUAAAAAAAAAAAAAGAGUCAUUUUAACAACUGAAAGCAAGAAUCCCCAUGUAUAAGAGAUGAGGAGAAGAUAUCCUUGAAGUUAGAAGAUGCUAAAGCCUGAUAAGAUACAAGUGAAUUUGGUUUUUCAAUGGACAUCUUUUACAGUUCUUUAUUCCUCUAUUCUCUGCAAGCAUCUACCUUCAGCGCCUCACUGAAACUUGAAAAAGAGAAACCAAACAAGGAAGAAAUAUCUGAAGGUGUGUGGAUCAAUUGGUAUUAGCCAAUAUAGAGAAGUGAGACUAGGCGUGUCUCUAAUGACAGGGGAGGGAAUCAGCUGAUUGCACAUCAUACGAAUCAAAAGGACAUCACUUUGUGUAUGUGUGUUAUUUGUGUGUCUAUCUAUUUCUAUGGAGGUGUUGUCUCCAUGCUCAAACAAGGCAAAGUAACCUGCUAAUAUCAUUAUGCAGAAGAGGAUGAAUCCCUUUGGGAGAAUCCCUCAACAUGGUACAAACCAGCACAAAACUGAGGCUCUACCUUGCCAACCAAUCUCUGCAAGAUUGGACCUCCCUGAACUUGUACUGCCAUGGUGCUGCUAUGAGAAUCAUGAUUCAAACAAUUCUUGGAUUGAAGGCCUAAAGCUGAGCAAUGGGUUAAGAAUAUGUCCACACCUUUAGAGGAUGAACCAACUGAAGUUAAGUUAGAAGCCCGACCUUCUAGGCUUGGACUGGGUGCUAAAGUUUCACGUCAAUCCAAAAUUGGGCCUUCAAAUGAUCCCAUUGAAAGAAAAUUAUAUGCUAAGUUGGAUGCUGGGAAAAGAAAAUCUUCCAAAAGUAGCAAGGAGUCUACUCUAUCUGCAAGAAAUGGAAGUGACAAUAGUGAUGAUAGUGAUGAGGAUCUAGAGAGCAGAACCAAAUCAUUUAGCAAGAAGCGAGUAGUUCCUCCAACCUCAUCUCUACAGAGAAACAAGAAAUCAAAGUAACUUGCCACCUUACGAAAUAGUAUUUACUAUUUUUCUCAAGCAGUCCUUUUUCUUGCUUAUGCUUCUUUUACAAUAGAGAAAUCUAAAAUGCUUAGUCUGAAAAUUAUCAGUUUUGACAAUUUCAUAUAUUAUUUGAAUGGAAAAUAUUUAUGAGGAAUGUUAUAUUUUGUUUGCAGAAGUUGCAUAAUCUCAGUUGAUGAGCUUUCUUCUGUUAGUUUGUAAUUCUUUGUAAUUUUCUUACUAUAUUCUACGAAUAUUGCAAGUAUAUGAAUCGUUGAAUUUGCUUUUGUA